AGUGAACGCUGGCGGUAGGCCUAACACAUGCAAGUCGAACGGCAGCACAGUAAGAGCUUGCUCUUACGGGUGGCGAGUGGCGGACGGGUGAGGAAUACAUCGGAAUCUACUUUUUCGUGGGGGAUAACGUGGGGAAACUUACGCUAAUACCGCAUACGACCUACGGGUGAAAGCAGGGGAUCUUCGGACCUUGCGCGAUUGAAUGAGCCGAUGUCGGAUUAGCUAGUUGGCGGGGUAAAGGCCCACCAAGGCGACGAUCCGUAGCUGGUCUGAGAGGAUGAUCAGCCACACUGGAACUGAGACACGGUCCAGACUCCUACGGGAGGCAGCAGUGGGGAAUAUUGGACAAUGGGCGCAAGCCUGAUCCAGCCAUACCGCGUGGGUGAAGAAGGCCUUCGGGUUGUAAAGCCCUUUUGUUGGGAAAGAAAAGCAGCAGGUUAAUACCCCGCUGUUCUGACGGUACCAAAAGAAUAAGCACCGGCUAACUUCGUG
rnacentral:rRNA from 1 species